UUGAUUCCUGUUCUGUUUCCCGCACCUGUGAGCUUAGCCUCACUUUCUAUGUCCAUAAACGGGACAAUAACCCAGGGCGGACUAUGGGAUGAAAUGAGAUUCUAAGUAAGUGCUCGGCAGUGUCUGGCAGACAGUAGGGUCCUUGCCCAACAACAACACCCUGGCUGCCCGGCUCUCCCGUUGUCCUGCACUGUUCAUGGCCACGCACAUAUAGGUCCCUGCGUCACUCUUCUCUGCUCUUGCCAUCAGCAGGGAACCUCUGGACACCUGUCAGGACCAGAUGCAGACCAAGACUGAUUAAGACAAUUAGAGCAAGAGAACACUGUGGUCUCUCCAAACUGGGCAUUUCCAAGGGUCCAAGCAUCCAGGGCACUCAGGGAUCCAUGGAGUGAUGGCCGAGGGGACUUCCCAACAGUGAGGUAUGUCUGGGUGGCUCUCAGAGACCACAGCGAUCAUUUCCAGCAACAUGUCCCAUCGGCAUCCUGACUGUCUCAUUUCCACACGCUAAGGAAGAGCCGACUGCGUGAGUCAUGGGGAUGACGUUAGUCAACGGGACCUGCCUCCAACUAUUUCAAGGAAGCUCUGCUCUGGGACCCUGGGGGAUGUGCUGGCCAGUGACCAGUUUAAAUACUACCUUCCUUCACCCCCUAGUUUUAGAGUUUUGGGUUUUUGUGAGUAACCCUUUCAUUGCUUGUAAGAGGGAAGAGAGAGGAGAGAGAUUAGGUGCUCUUCAAGGACCGUCCAGAGGACAUUUUUUUUUCUCCUGGUUUCUCUGGCAUCCUAUUCUGUGUCUUCUGAAAAUGCAGCCCAGGGACUCCUGCUGAUCAAGCUGGUGGAGUAAACAGUACUAAUUCAGGUGGGAUUUGAUGUAUCUUCGUAUUUUCUAGAAAAGCAUUAAAAUCAUUACCGGUGACAUGUGCUCCUCGUGACUAGCAGCAAGGCUUUGCCAAAAUGUGUGCUUGACCACAGGCACCCUCCUUCACUAAAAUCAUAUCCAACACUGAGCGUCCUCCUUGCUUCUGGAGCAGUCUCUCGGGGCUGUCUGAAAUGCUUUCUCCUAGGCUGUAGUCCUCAUUUUGCCCCAAAUAAAACUUAACUCACAACUCUCAAGUUUUGCAUUUUCUUCUCAGUCAACAAGAUCUUCUCUUUGUCUUUGGUAUACUCUAGCUUUACUACAUUUUAUGUAGGUGUGGAAAUCUUUUAAGAUAUCUUGUGUGUCAACCUUCUUGAACCUGUAUAUUUAUGUUUGUCAUGAGUUCUACAAAAAUUUCAGUCAUUACUCUUAAAAUAUUGUCUCUUCUCCAUCUCUCUAUUCUCCCCUUUGAGCUCUUGAGGAAAUGUGUGUCAGACCUUUUCAUGCUACAUGCCGUAUCCCUUAAUCUCUCUUCUCAUAUAUUUCAUCUCCUUGUCUGUCUGUGCCUAAUUCUGAAUAACUUCUUCAGGUACAACUUUCAGUUAACUAACUCUCUUCAGCUGUUUUUAAUGUGCUGUUAAACUCUUUCAUUUUUAUUUCAAUAAAUUAUAUUUUUAUGUAUGAGUUCUAUUUGUUCCUUUUCAAAUUUGAUCACUUUUGAUAGUCUCUUGUUGCUUGUUCAUUUUUGUAAUUUUGUCUUGUAUUACUUCAAGCAUUUCAUAAUUAUUUUAUGUUUUAUAUCUGAUCAUUUCAGUGCCUGAAGACCUUGGGGGUCUAAAUCUGUUGCUUCUUAUAUUUGCUGACUUUCAUUCAUGAUGAUUUGUUUCCUUCUGUGUUAAUGACCUUUCCUUGUGAACUCGUCUUUGGUUGGUCUUAGUCUCUGAAAAUUUAAGGAGAUGUUUUUUUCCAGAGAGGAUUUGUAUUUUUUAUUUUAGGAGCCUGGGAUGCUACCAGCUGGGGGCCAAUACCAAUUUAAUCCAGGAGUCUCAGGUUCAGCUCCCACACCUUGCCACUGGCACAAGUCUGGUCUUUCAUCAGUGCUAAUAUAAACAUUUGCCCUUGGGUAAUCCACAUUUUAUGAGUGCUAAGAAGUCAGGACUCACCUUACACUUCUAAGCUUUUAUAUACGCUCCUCCUUCUGCCUGGAAUAUGUGUCCUUUUAUCCUCCCCCCCAUGCCCUAUCUGAUUAAUCAAUCUUUCUAAGACUAAGUUCAGGCUUGUUCUCCUCCAAGAUACCUUUGCUGACGAUCCCUAGUCUGGGUUAGAUGCCGCUCUUACAUGCCUCUACAGCACGCUGUAUCUACCUGUCGUUGCAUUUUCCACACUGUAUUGUAAUAAUCUGUUUACUUAUCUGUCUUCCUCCAUGAGACUCUCUUUGGUAGGGGUCAUGGCAUAGUUAUGCUGUUUCCCCAGUGUCGGGCACAGGGUGGAUCAUGGUAGAUUAAUACAUGUCUGUUGAAUAAAUGAAAGACACCCGAAUAAAUGAAUGAAUGAAUGAGUGAGUGAUGAUUUUGGAAUGGACAAUAUGGGAUUUCCAGAGAGGGUGAAGGAUGAUGGAGGGAUGUGAGAAGAAAAGAGAAAAGGGAAAUGACUGGUAUUUUUAGGCUGUUUGUUUGUUCUCCUUGAUUAAGUGGAAUAAAGUUGUCACUUUAUUUCAUCAAAAGUUUAUUGAGCAUCCAGUAUGUGCUAGGCACUCUGCUAGAUGCCAGUAAUACAAAGAUGAAGAUCAAAAUGAAACAAAAACAAAA